UACGAAGGGGGCUAGCGUUGCUCGGAAUUACUGGGCGUAAAGCGCACGUAGGCGGGCUAUUAAGUCGGGGGUGAAAUCCUGGAGCUCAACUCCAGAACUGCCUUCGAAACUGAUAGUCUUGAGUUCGGGAGAGGUGAGUGGAACUGCGAGUGUAGAGGUGAAAUUCGUAGAUAUUCGCAAGAACACCAGUGGCGAAGGCGGCUCACUGGCCCGAUACUGACGCUGAGGCACGAAAGCGUGGGGAGCAAACAGG
rnacentral:rRNA from 1 species